rnacentral:rRNA from 1 species
AGUUGGUGAGGUAAUGGCUCACCAAGGCAAUGACACCUAACUGGUUUGAGAGGAUGAUCAGUCACACUGGAACUGAGACACGGUCCAGACUCCUACGGGAGGCAGCAGUGGGGAAUAUUGCACAAUGGACGAAAGUCUGAUGCAGCAACGCCGCGUGGAGGAUGACACAUUUCGGUGCGUAAACUCCUUUUAUAUAGGAAGAUAAUGACGGUACUAUAUGAAUAAGCACCGGCUAACUCCGUGCCAGCAGCCGCGGUAAUACGGAGGGUGCAAGCGUUACUCGGAAUUACUGGGCGUAAAGAGCGUGUAGGCGGGUAAAUAAGUUGGAAGUGAAAUCCUAUGGCUCAACCAUAGAACUGCUUCCAAAACUGUUAACCUAGAAUGUGGGAGAGGUAGAUGGAAUUUCUGGUGUAGGGGUAAAAUCCGUAAAUAUCAGAAGGAAUACCGAUUGCGAAGGCGAUCUACUGGAACAUAAUUGACGCUGAGACGCGAAAGCGUGGGGAGCAAACAGGAUUAGAUACCCUGGUAGUCCACGCCCUAAACGAUGUACACUAGUUGUUGUGAGGCUAGACCUUGCAGUAAUGCAGUUAACACAUUAAGUGUACCGCCUGGGGAGUACGGUCGCAAGAUUAAAACUCAAAGGAAUAGACGGGGACCCGCACAAGCGGUGGAGCAUGUGGUUUAAUUCGACAUACGCGAAGAACCUUACCUGGUCUUGAUAUAGAAAGAACUUUCCAGAGAUGGAUUGGUUCCUGCUUGCAGGAGCUUUCAUACAGGUGCUGCACGGCUGUCGUCAGCUCGUGUCGUGAGAUGUUGGGUUAAGUCCCGCAACGAGCGCAACCCUCGUCGUUAGUUGCUAACAGUUCGGCUGAGAACUCUAACGAGACUGCCUACGCAAGUAGGAGGAAGGUGAGGACGACGUCAAGUCAUCAUGGCCCUUACGACCAGGGCUACACACGUGCUACAAUGGGGUAUACAAAGAGCAGCGAUACGGUGACGUGGAGCGAAUCUCAAAAAUGCCUCCCAGUUCGGAUAGUAGUCUGCAACUCGACUACUUGAAGUUGGAAUCGCUAGUAAUCGUAGAUCAGCUAUGCUACGGUGAAUACGUUCCCGGGUCUUGUACUCACCGCCCGUCACACCAUGGGAGUUGAAUUCAUUCGAAGCGGGGAUGCUAAAAUAGCUACCUUCCACAGUGGAUUUAGCGACUGGGGUGAAGUCGUAACAAGGUAACCGUAGGAGAACCUGCGGUUG